UGUUGCAAAUGGGAAGAUGGUUAACAGC
rnacentral:piRNA from 1 species